rnacentral:misc_RNA from 1 species
GACUGCACUCCACUAUGGAGACGUCCGUGUCGUCGUUUCUGAAACAGGCUGGCCGUCUAAGGGUGACGUUAAUGAGACCGGAGCAGGGGCCGAGAAUGCCGCUGCCUAUAACGGUAAUCUGGUUCGCAGAUUGCUGUCGGGCAACGGCGGCACACCGCUGCGGCCAACCGCGGACAUUGAUGUUUACUUGUUUGCUUUGUUUAAUGAGAACCAGAAGCCAGGGCCGUUGUCCGAGAGAAACUAUGGUUUGUUUUAUCCGACUGAAGAGAAGGUGUAUGACAUUGGUUUUACUUUG